rnacentral:rRNA from 1 species
CCUACGGGCGGCAGCAGUGGGGGAUAUUGCACAAUGGGGGAAACCCUGAUGCAGCGACGCCGCGUGGGCGAAGAAGUAUUUCGGUAUGUAAAGCCCUAUCAGCAGGGAAGAAGAAAUGACGGUACCUGAGUAAGAAGCACCGGCUAAAUACGUGCCAGCAGCCGCGGUAAUACGGAUGGUGCAAGCGUUAUCCGGAUUUACUGGGUGUAAAGGGAGCGCAGGCGGCACGGCAAGCCUGAUGUGAAAGCCCGCGGCUCAACCGUGGGACUGCAUUGGGAACUAGCGGGAUGGAGUGCCGUGGAGGGAGGCGGAAGUCGGGGUGGAGCGGUGAAAUGCGUAGAUAUAAGGAGGAACGCCGAUGGAGAAGGUAGCCUACUAAACGGUGAAUGACGCUGAGGCUCGAAAGUGUGGGGAGCAAACAGGAGUAGAUACACCAGUAGUC